rnacentral:lncRNA from 1 species
ACAAAAUGCCCCAAAACAACAUUUUUUGAUUAUUUUUGUUGACACAAAAGUUCUUAGCUGUUGGUCUAGAUUUUAUGUCUUACAAGGAUAGUUGGUAACAUUUACUUAGUAGAAUAAUUUUUGCAACAUGUUCAGAACAGGCAACAUUAUUCGGAUAAGAUAUAAACGGCAGUUUAAAUACAAUUGUGCAAAUUAAGAGACCCA